CGCAGCCAUGUCAUAUUGGGUGCCUGCCCCACCAUGGCGGGCACUGGGAGGCUCCCAUAGAAACACCAAGACUCAUGGGCCCUGAUCCCCUCUGCUGGGCCUUAGGGAUAAAUUCAGUUAUAAAAACCA